rnacentral:snRNA from 1 species
UUACUGACCUGGCAGGGCAGAUACCAUGAUCACAAAGGUGGUUCACCCAGGGUGAGGCCCAGCCAUUGCCCUGUGGCUGUGCUGACCCCUGCAAAUUCCCCAAAUGUGGGAAUCUACACCGCAUAAUUUCUGGUGGUGGGGGACUGCGUUCACGCUCUCCCCGA